GUUGUAUAGUCAAGUAAUUAAGUGCAUGUGGUGGAUGCCUUGGCAGUCAGAGGCGAUGAAAGACGUGAUAGCCUGCGAAAAGCUCCGGGGAGGCGGCAAAUAUCCUUUGAUCCGGAGAUGUCUGAAUGGGGGAACCCACCUACUUUAAGGUAGGUAUUGCAACAUGAAUACAUAGUGUUGCAAGGCGAACGAGGGGAAGUGAAACAUCUCAGUACCCUUAGGAAAAGAAAUCAAUUGAGAUUCCCUCAGUAGCGGCGAGCGAACGGGGAUCAGCCCAUUAAGUUAUGUGUGUUUUAGUGGAACGCUCUGGGAAGUGCGAACGUAGAGGGUGAUAUUCCCGUACACGAAAGGGCACACAUAAUGAUGACGAGUAGGGCGAGGCACGUGAAACCUUGUCUGAAUAUGGGGGGACCAUCCUCCAAGGCUAAAUACUCCUGACUGACCGAUAGUGAACCAGUACCGUGAGGGAAAGGCGAAAAGAACCCCUGUGAGGGGAGUGAAAUAGAUCCUGAAACCGCAUGCAUACAAGCAGUGGGAGCACCUUCGUGGUGUGACUGCGUACCUUUUGUAUAAUGGGUCAGCGACUUAUAUUCAGUAGCGAGGUUAACCGUAUAGGGGAGCCGUAGAGAAAUCGAGUCUUAAUAGGGCGUUUAGUUGCUGGGUAUAGACCCGAAACCAGGCGAUCUAUCCAUGAGCAGGUUGAAGGUUGGGUAACACUAACUGGAGGACCGAACCCACUGUCGUUGAAAAGCCAGGGGAUGACUUGUGGAUAGGGGUGAAAGGCUAAUCAAGCCUGGUGAUAGCUGGUUCUCCCCGAAAGCUAUUUAGGUAGCGCCUCGGACGAAUACCAUAGGGGGUUAGAGCACUGUUUCGGCUAGGGGGUCAUCCCGACUUACCAAACCGAUGCAAACUCCGAAUACCUAUGAGUACUAUCCGGGAGACAGACUGCGGGUGCUAACGUCCGUAGUCAAGAGGAAAACAAUCCAGACCGCCAGCUAAGGCCCCAAAAUCAUAGUUAAGUGGGAAACGAUGUGGGAAGGCAUAGACAGCUAGGAGGUUGGCUUAGAAGCAGCCACCCUUUAAAGAAAGCGUAAUAGCUCACUAGUCGAGUCGGCCUGCGCGGAAGAUGUAACGGGGCUAAAACUAUGUGCCGAAGCUGCGGAUGUAUACUUUGUAUACGUGGUAGGGGAGCGUUCUGUAAGCCGAUGAAGGUGUGUUGAGAAGCAUGCUGGAGGUAUCAGAAGUGCGAAUGCUGACGUGAGUAACGACAAAACGGGUGAAAAACCCGUUCGCCGAAAGACCAAGGGUUCCAGUCCAACGUUAAUCGGGGCUGGGUGAGUCGACCCCUAAGGCGAGGCCGAAAGGCGUAGUCGAUGGGAAAAUGGUUAAUAUUCCAUUACUUCUGUGUAAUGCGAUGAGAGGACGGAGAAGGCUAAAUCAGCCUGGCGUUGGUUGUCCAGGUGAAAGGAUGUAGGCAUGUAUCUUAGGCAAAUCCGGGGUACUCUAUGCUGAGAUCUGAUAGCAAGCUGUACUUGUACAGCGAAGUGGUUGAUGCCAUGCUUCCAGGAAAAGUCUCUAAGCUUCAGUUACACAGGAAUCGUACCCGAAACCGACACAGGUGGUCAGGUCGAGUAGACCAAGGCGCUUGAGAGAACUCUGCUGAAGGAACUAGGCAAAAUGGUACCGUAACUUCGGGAGAAGGUACGCUGUUGUUGGUGAUGGAACUCGCUUCCUGAGCUGACGACAGCCGCAGAAACCAGGCCGCUGCAACUGUUUAUUAAAAACAUAGCACUCUGCAAACACGAAAGUGGACGUAUAGGGUGUGAUGCCUGCCCGGUGCUGGAAGGUUAAUUGAUGGGGUUAGCGUAAGCGAAGCUCUUGAUCGAAGCCCCAGUAAACGGCGGCCGUAACUAUAACGGUCCUAAGGUAGCGAAAUUCCUUGUCGGGUAAGUUCCGACCUGCACGAAUGGCAUAAUGAUGGCGGCGCUGUCUCCAGCAGAGGCUCAGUGAAAUCGAAAUCGCUGUGAAGAUGCAGUGUACCCGCGGCUAGACGGAAAGACCCCGUGAACCUUUACUGCAGCUUGACACUGAACUUUGACCUUACUUGUGUAGGAUAGGUGGGAGGCUUUGAAGCUGGAACGCUACUUCCAGUGGAGCCGUCCUUGAAAUACCACCCUGGUAAUGUUGAGGUUCUAACUCUGUCCCGUGAUCCGGGACGAGGACCGUGUCUGGUGGGUAGUUUGACUGGGGCGGUCUCCUCCUAAAGAGUAACGGAGGAGUACGAAGGUGCGCUCAGCGUGGUCGGAAAUCACGCGUAGAGUAUAAAGGCAAAAGCGCGCUUAACUGCGAGACCCACAAGUCGAGCAGGUACGAAAGUAGGUCUUAGUGAUCCGGUGGUUCUGUAUGGAAGGGCCAUCGCUCAACGGAUAAAAGGUACUCUGGGGAUAACAGGCUGAUACCGCCCAAGAGUUCAUAUCGACGGCGGUGUUUGGCACCUCGAUGUCGGCUCAUCUCAUCCUGGGGCUGAAGCAGGUCCCAAGGGUAUGGCUGUUCGCCAUUUAAAGAGGUACGCGAGCUGGGUUUAGAACGUCGUGAGACAGUUCGGUCCCUAUCUACCGUGGGCGCUGGAAAUUUGAGAGGAUCUGCUCCUAGUACGAGAGGACCAGAGUGGACGAACCUCUGGUGUACCGGUUGUGACGCCAGUCGCAUCGCCGGGUAGCUAUGUUCGGAAGGGAUAACCGCUGAAAGCAUCUAAGCGGGAAGCCUACCUCAAGAUAAGAUUUCCCUAGGACUUUAUGUCCUCUAAAGAGCCGUUCGAGACUAGGACGUUGAUAGGUUGGAUGUGGAAGCAUAGUGAUAUGUGAAGCUGACCAAUACUAAUUGCUCGUGAGGCUUGACUAUACAACACCCAAGCAGUUG
rnacentral:rRNA from 1 species